GUACUGACGAAGAGUCCCAAAAUAGGGCGAAACAUUGGUCCAGUAC
rnacentral:hammerhead_ribozyme from 1 species